rnacentral:rRNA from 1 species
UUGAGCGAUUUACUUCGGUAAAGAGCGGCGGACGGGUGAGUAACGCGUGGGUAACCUACCCUGUACACACGGAUAACAUACCGAAAGGUAUGCUAAUACGGGAUAAUAUAUUUGAGAGGCAUCUCUUGAAUAUCAAAGGUGAGCCAGUACAGGAUGGACCCGCGUCUGAUUAGCUAGUUGGUAAGGUAACGGCUUACCAAGGCGACGAUCAGUAGCCGACCUGAGAGGGUGAUCGGCCACAUUGGAACUGAGACA